CCUACGGGAGGCAGCAGUGAGGAAUAUUGGUCAAUGGACGAGAGUCUGAACCAGCCAAGUAGCGUGAAGGAUGACUGCCCUAUGGGUUGUAAACUUCUUUUAUAAGGGGAUAAAACGAGGCACGUGUGCCUUUUUGUAUGUACCUUAUGAAUAAGGAUCGGCUAACUCCGUGCCAGCAGCCGCGGUAAUACGGAGGAUCCGAGCGUUAUCCGGAUUUAUUGGGUUUAAAGGGAGCGUAGGUGGGUUGUUAAGUCAGUUGUGAAAGUUUGCGGCUCAACCGUAAAAUUGCAAUUGAUACUGGCAGUCUUGAGUACAGUUGAGGUAGGCGGAAUUCGUGGUGUAGCGGUGAAAUGCUUAGAGAUCACGAAGAACCCCGAUUGCGAAGGCAGCUUACUAAACUGUGACUGACAUUGAUUCUCGAAAGUGUGGGUAUCAAACAGGAUUAGAUACCCGUGUAGUC
rnacentral:rRNA from 1 species